rnacentral:rRNA from 1 species
AGUGAACGCUGGCGGUAGGCCUAACACAUGCAAGUCGAACGGCAGCACAGUAAGAGCUUGCUCUUACGGGUGGCGAGUGGCGGACGGGUGAGGAAUACAUCGGCAUCUACUUUUUCGUGGGGGAUAACGUAGGGAAACUUACGCUAAUACCGCAUACGACCUACGGGUGAAAGCAAGGGAUCUUCGGACCUUGCGCGAUUGAAUGAGCCGAUGUCGGAUUAGCUAGUUGGCGGGGUAAAGGCCCACCAAGGCGACGAUCCGUAGCUGGUCUGAGAGGAUGAUCAGCCACACUGGAACUGAGACACGGUCCAGACUCCUACGGGAGGCAGCAGUGGGGAAUAUUGGACAAUGGGCGCAAGCCUGAUCCAGCCAUACCGCGUGGGUGAAGAAGGCCUUCGGGUUGUAAAGCCCUUUUGUUGGGAAAGAAAAGCAGCAGGUGAAUACCCCGCUGUUCUGACGGUACCCAAAGAAUAAGCACCGGCUAACUUCGUG